GCACUACCUUUGAACUUGCUCUACCAUGCUGUGGUAGUGCAAGCCAAGCAGUGGUGCUACAUAAAAUAUCUUGCUAUAACUGGGGUUUUUCAUUUUCUCCAAGAUUGAAAAACUCUUUUAAAAGUAAGACACAAAC